GAUGAACGCUGGCGGCGUGCCUAAUACAUGCAAGUCGAGCGAACAGACGAGGAGCUUGCUCCUUCGACGUUAGCGGCGGACGGGUGAUGAACACGUAGGUAACCUACCUAUAAGACUGGGAUAACUUCGGGAAACCGGAUCUAAUACCGGAUAAUAUUUCGAACCGCAUGGUUCGAUAGUGAAAGAUGGCUUUGGUAUCACUUAUAGAUGAACCUGCGCCGUAUUAGCUAGUUGGUAACGUAACGGCUUACCAAUGCAACGAUACGUAGCCGACCUGAGAGGGUGAGCGGGCACACUGGGACUGAACCACGGUCCAGACUCCUACGGGAGGCCGCAGUAGGGAAUCUUCCGCAAUGGGGGAAAGCCUGACGGAGCAACGCCGCGUGAGUGAUGAAGGUCUUCGGAUCGUAAAACUCUGUUAUUAGGGAAGAACAAACGUGUAAGUAACUGUGCACGUCUUGACGGUACCUAAUCAGAAAGCCACGGCUAACUACGUG
rnacentral:rRNA from 1 species